GGAGGGGUGUCCGAGUGGUUUAAGGAGGCGGUCUUGAAAAUCGCUGGGUCCCUGUGGCCCCGUGGGUUCGAAUCCCACUCCCUCCGCCA
rnacentral:tRNA from 3 species